UCUAGCUUGUCAAAAAAGAGAAGGCAAAAUUGGAAUCUAGCUAGGGAUAAGCGGUUUGCAUAAAGAAAAGAAGAAAUAGCAUUAAAACACAGAAUGAGCGAGCUUAUUACAUUAUAGUAUGUUUUUACAUGGGAAAAACAGAGGGAGUACUAAACAACAAACAAGAAGGUGGAGAACAACUAUGAUUUUUGGUGUUUGAUGAUGGUUUUGGCGUUGUUUCUGCUCCUCUUGGCGAGCUCACUUUUUUGCAGCAGAGAAGCAAGGGAUGAGGCCAAGGACUCGUACAUCAUUUUCUUCACCUUUUUCUUCUUAGGAAAUACACUUCCAUUCUUAUUGUUGAACUGUGGUUCUGCCUUGGAGCUCACCUCUUUCAUUACGGAGCUAAUCUCCUUCACCUUCUUUGCCUCCCUCCUUGCUGUUGCCAUUUCCUCAGCUGGUGGUGC
rnacentral:lncRNA from 1 species